AUGAACGCUGGCGGCGUGCCUAAUACAUGCAAGUCGAACGAGUUCUGAUUAUUGAAAGGUGCUUGCAUCUUGAUUUAAUUUUGAACGAGUGGCGGACGGGUGAGUAACACGUGGGUAACCUGCCCUUAAGUGGGGGAUAACAUUUGGAAACAGAUGCUAAUACCGCAUAAAUCCAAGAACCGCAUGGUUCUUGGCUGAAAGAUGGCGUAAGCUAUCGCUUUUGGAUGGACCCGCGGCGUAUUAGCUAGUUGGUGAGGUAACGGCUCACCAAGGCAAUGAUACGUAGCCGAACUGAGAGGUUGAUCGGCCACAUUGGGACUGAGACACGGCCCAAACUCCUACGGGAGGCAGCAGUAGGGAAUCUUCCACAAUGGACGCAAGUCUGAUGGAGCAACGCCGCGUGAGUGAAGAAGGCUUUCGGGUCGUAAAACUCUGUUGUUGGAGAAGAAUGGUCGGCAGAGUAACUGUUGUCGGCGUGACGGUAUCCAACCAGAAAGCCACGGCUAACUACGUGCCAGCAGCCGCGGUAAUACGUAGGUGGCAAGCGUUAUCCGGAUUUAUUGGGCGUAAAGCGAGCGCAGGCGGUUUUUUAAGUCUGAUGUGAAAGCCCUCGGCUUAACCGAGGAAGUGCAUCGGAAACUGGGAAACUUGAGUACAGAAGAGGACAGUGGAACUCCAUGUGUAGCGGUGAAAUGCGUAGAUAUAUGGAAGAACACCAGUGGCGAAGGCGGCUGUCUGGUCUGUAACUGACGCUGAGGCUCGAAAGCAUGGGUAGCGAACAGGAUUAGAUACCCUGGUAGUCCAUGCCGUAAACGAUGAAUGCUAGGUGUUGGAGGGUUUCCGCCCUUCAGUGCCGCAGCUAACGCAUUAAGCAUUCCGCCUGGGGAGUACGACCGCAAGGUUGAAACUCAAAGGAAUUGACGGGGGCCCGCACAAGCGGUGGAGCAUGUGGUUUAAUUCGAAGCAACGCGAAGAACCUUACUAGGUCUUGACAUCUUUUGAUCACCUGAGAGAUCAGGUUUCCCCUUCGGGGGCAAAAUGACAGGUGGUGCAUGGUUGUCGUCAGCUCGUGUCGUGAGAUGUUGGGUUAAGUCCCGCAACGAGCGCAACCCUUAUGACUAGUUGCCAGCAUUUAGUUGGGCACUCUAGUAAGACUGCCGGUGACAAACCGGAGGAAGGUGGGGAUGACGUCAAAUCAUCAUGCCCCUUAUGACCUGGGCUACACACGUGCUACAAUGGAUGGUACAACGAGUUGCGAGACCGCGAGGUCAAGCUAAUCUCUUAAAGCCAUUCUCAGUUCGGACUGUAGGCUGCAACUCGCCUACACGAAGUCGGAAUCGCUAGUAAUCGCGGAUCAGCAUGCCGCGGUGAAUACGUUCCCGGGCCUUGUACACACCGCCCGUCACACCAUGAGAGUUUGUAACACCCGAAGCCGGUGGCGUAACCCUUUUAGGGAGCGAGCCGUCUAAGGUGGGACAAAUGAUUAGGGUG
rnacentral:rRNA from 1 species